rnacentral:rRNA from 1 species
AGAGAAGGCGGGCGGCAGGCUUAACACAUGCAAGUCGAGCGGGCAUCCUUGUGGUGUCAGCGGCAGACGGGUGAGUAACGCGUGGGAACGUGCCCUUCGGUUCGGAAUAACUCAGGGAAACUUGAGCUAAUACCGGAUACGUGCGAGAGCAGAAAGGUUUAUCUGCCGAAGGAUCGGCCCGCGUCUGAUUAGCUAGUUGGUGAGGUUAUGGCUCACCAAGGCGACGAUCAGUAGCUGGUCUGAGAGGAUGAUCAGCCACACUGGGACUGAGACACGGCCCAGACUCCUACGGGAGGCAGCAGUGGGGAAUAUUGGACAAUGGGGGCAACCCUGAUCCAGCCAUGCCGCGUGAGUGAUGACGGCCUUAGGGUUGUAAAGCUCUUUUCUCCGGGACGAUAAUGACGGUACCGGAGGAAUAAGCCCCGGCUAACUUCGUG